rnacentral:piRNA from 1 species
UGACUAUAGAAGUAAACAUGGUAGAUG